rnacentral:rRNA from 1 species
UACGUAGGGUGCAAGCGUUAAUCGGAAUUACUGGGCGUAAAGCGUGCGCAGGCGGUUAUGUAAGACAGGGGUGAAAUCCCCGGGCUUAACCUGGGAACUGCAUUUGUGACUGCAUCGCUGGAGUGCGGCAGAGGGGGAUGGAAUUCCGCGUGUAGCAGUGAAAUGCGUAGAUAUGCGGAGGAACACCGAUGGCGAAGGCAAUCCCCUGGGCCUGCACUGACGCUCAUGCACGAAAGCGUGGGGAGCAAACAGG